rnacentral:rRNA from 1 species
AGCAGCCGCGGUAAUUCCAGCUCCAAUAGCGUAUAUUAAAGUUGUUGCAGUUAAAAAGCUCGUAGUUGAACUUCGGGGUUUACCCAUUGGUCAGGCUUAAUUGUCUGUACUGGUGAGAUAAAUCUCUACCUUCUGAGGAACUUUCAUGUCAUUAAUUUGGUGUGAUUGGAAAUCAGGACUGUUACUUUGAAAAAAUUAGAGUGUUUAAAGCAGGCUAACGUCUGAAUACAUUAGCAUGGAAUAAUGAAAUAGGACAGACUGAUUCUAUUUCGUUGGUUUCUAGGAUCACCGUAAUGAUUAAUAGGGAUAGUUGGGGGCAUUAGUAUUCAAUUGUCAGAGGUGAAAUUCUUGGAUUUAUUGAAGACUAACUACUGCGAAAGCAUUUGCCAAGGAUGUUUUCAUUAAUCAAGAACGAAAGUUAGGGGAUCGAAGACGAUCAGAUACCGUCGUAGUCUUAACCAUAAACUAUGCCGACUAGGGAUCGGACGAAGUUAAUUUUAUAAUGACGCGUUCGGCACCUUACG